rnacentral:rRNA from 1 species
UACAGAGGUCCCAAGCGUUGUUCGGAUUCACUGGGCGUAAAGGGUGCGUAGGCGGUCGGGUAAGUCUGAUGUGAAAUCUCACAGCUUAACUGUGAAACUGCAUUGGAUACUAUUCGGGCUUGAGAGUUGGAGGGGGGGACUGGAAUUCUUGGUGUAGCAGUGAAAUGCGUAGAUAUCAAGAGGAACACCAGUGGCGAAGGCGAGUCCCCUGGACAACUUCUGACGCUGAGGCACGAAAGCUAGGGGAGCAAACAGG